AUGCAUUCUUCAAAACCCCCCAGUUGUUUACCUUAGCUUCUGGGACAAGGAAGAAUGCAAGAUCGAUUCUUAAGCAUUCCAAAAUCAAAAGGCUUGUUUCAGUACCUUUUGCUUAUUUCAGUUUAAGGACACAU